rnacentral:lncRNA from 1 species
UGAGUUUUAAAAUAUUGGGAAACUUAUUAUUGGGGAUCUGCUGCGGGGUGUGAUGAUUUUGGGGAAAAAAAUUUAGUAGAGCCCCCAAUACAUAGUUUUGGUGAAGAAUUUUUUGGGAACUCUUGAAGAUGCUCUUAGAGGAACACCAAGAGUCUACAAAAAAAAAUCUCCCCCAAAAAUAUCUAUUGGGGGCUCUACUAAAAAAUUAUUCUCCCAAAAUCAUGUCAUCACAAAACAAAUCCCCAAUAAGAAACUCCCCAGUACUUCAAAACU